rnacentral:precursor_RNA from 1 species
AAAAAAAUCAAAUGCAAAGAGCUCAUUGUCAAUAUUAUGAUGAAAUAUAAAAGGAUGAUUUAUCGACCAAUAAUAAUGGUGGAAAGUAGAAAGGAAAAUUGAAUGAAAUGGAUUGAUUUAGGUAACCAGACUAUUUACAAAGAAUUGGCCAAAUUCGAGGAUUGCCCAUCUCCCUUUUCUCGAUGAAUUUACAACUUGAGAAACAUAACUGUUUAUACACACAAAUCAGCCCAACUAUAUUACUAAACUACCCACUUUGCGGUUAGGCCCGUUCACCUGCACCUUUCACUAAGCCCAAUCCGUUAUCCUUUUACCGCACGAGUCACACAUGCUAAAAUACAAUCAAAGACUGUUAUGAACUUAACCAUUCGAUCUCUGACACGUCCUUCUGCCUUAUUAAUUUUACCCCAAAUCGUCACGCAUGCCCAACGGCUCUUUCCCUUUCUCAUCUCAACGGAUCUCUUGUGAUUUUCUUCAACAAAUCUGCAAGUCUCCAUUCUUAUGAAAGAUCUCUGGUCCUCUUUCUUUUUAUUAUUUUCUACUUGGUUUUCUUUUCAGACCCGUGCAUGACAAUAUUGAUUUUCCCACUGCCCCAAAUCGUCACGCAUGCCCAACGGCUUUUUCCCUUCUCAUCUCAACGGAUCUCUUGUGAUUUUCUUCAACAAAUCUUCAAGUCUCCAUUCUUAUGAAGGAUCUCUGAUCCUCUUUAUUUUUAUUAUUUUCUACUUGGUUUUCUGUUCAGACCCGUGACAAUACCCUGUCCUGCAAAUCAUCUUUUCUUUUUCUACGCCUUUAAAUCAUCUUGCCCACAAGGUGUACAUACUCAAGCUUCAAACUCGGUUCUUCAGUUAUACGCCGAUCGUCCUUUAUACCGACGAUUCAUUUUUUUUAAAUUAAAAAAAAAUGAAUAGUCGAUAUAAUAGGACAGUCGACGUAAAUUGGAUGCUACAAAUUUCACGAGUGACCUGCUCCAAUCAUGAAUCUACAAAUUUCACGAGUGACCUGCUCCAAUCAUGAAUCUGUCCUGGCCGAUUUCUAACGUGUACGUUUUUUCUUGCUGUUCUUUCUUUUUCCUUUUUUAUGAAACAAAUGAUUUUUUUAUUACGGAUUGAGCUUUUAUAUUUUUUAUAUUUUAUUUUGUAUAGAUCUUUCGAUAGUUGUUUAGAGCAUUUCUAACAAGCUCUCUAUUUUUAGUUUUUCUCUAAAAAUUAGAGAAAACUCACAAAAACACUCAUUUAUCAAGCUCUCUCCUCAUUUUCCGUUUUAACUCUGGGCAGAUUUCUAAUCUAUAUUUGGAGAAACAUUCUUCAUCUCUACGUGAUUUUCAGCCAUUUUUAUACUCAUUUUCCUUAUUUCUCCCUCAUCUCUCCGGCAGUACGUGCCCCUCAAUCUUGGUCUUCAUUUGGUACUUUCCUUGCAAAUCAAUCGAAAUAAUUUUGUCUUAAGAGUCUUGUAAUUGUGAUUGAAUUCCAGUUUGCUCGUUUUAUUCGUCAGUCAGACAAGUUGACAAACACAAGAUGGGCUUUAUUUGGUGGUCAAACUUGUAUAGUUCAUUUGACUUGGAAAUGCUUCAUUGUCUUCCUCUAAAUUAAUUCUCUUUUGAUUGUCUUUGAGAUCGUACUCGGAGUCGUCGUCUUAUAGCUUCUGGGUGAAUGGGUCUGGAUGUCUCCGUUGGGUGAGGCUUGGAGAAAGAGGAAAGUGAGGCAGAGAAAUUGUGGUUUUCCAAAUAAUAAAAAAAGAAAUAUUUAGAAAGUAUUUGAGUUGGGAUUUUGGAGUUUUAGAGUUUAGAAGAGUAAUAAAAAGCGGAAAUGUUUGUUUUUUUAGUGUAUUUUUUAUUUGAAUAAU